UUACAUUUGAGUGAGUGGCGAACUGGUGAGUAACACGUGGGAAACCUGCCCAGAAGCGGGGGAUAACACCUGGAAACAGAUGCUAAUACCGCAUAACAACUUGGACCGCAUGGUCCGAGUUUGAAAGAUGGCUUCGGCUAUCACUUUUGGAUGGUCCCGCGGCGUAUUAGCUAGAUGGUGGUAACGGCUCACCAUGGCAAUGAUACGUAGCCACCUGAGAGGGUAAUCGGCCACAUUGGGACUGAGACACGG
rnacentral:rRNA from 1 species